UACGUAGGGGGCAAGCGUUGUCCGGAUUUAUUGGGCGUAAAGAGCGUGUAGGCGGCCAUGCAGGUCCGUUGUGAAAACUCGAGGCUCAACCUCGAGACGCCGGUGGAAACCGUGUGGCUAGAGUCCGGAAGAGGAGAGUGGAAUUCCUGGUGUAGCGGUGAAAUGCGCAGAUAUCAGGAAGAACACCCGUGGCGAAGGCGGCUCUCUGGAACGGUACUGACGCUGAGACGCGAAAGCGUGGGGAGCAAACAGG
rnacentral:rRNA from 1 species